AUACGGAGGUUCCGAGCGUUCUCCGGAUUUAUUGGGUUUAAAGGGAGCGUAGGCGGACUAUUAAGUCAGCUGUGAAAGUUUGCGGCUCAACCGUAAAAUUGCAGUUGAUACUGGUCGUCUUGAGUGCAGUAGAGGUAGGCGGAAUUCGUGGUGUAGCGGCGAAAUGCUUAGAUAUCACGAAGAACUCCGAUUGCGAAGGCAGCUUACUGGACUGUAACUGACGCUGAUGCUCGAAAGUGUGGGUAUCAAACAGGAUUAGAUGCCCUGGUAGUCCACACAGUAAACGAUGAAUACUCGCUGUUUGCGAUAUACGGCAAGCGGCCAAGCGAAAGCAUUAAGUAUUCCACCUGGGGAGUACGCCGGCAACGGUGAAACUCAAAUGAAUUGACGGGG
rnacentral:rRNA from 1 species